rnacentral:rRNA from 1 species
UAGUCUGCAACCCGACUACAUGAAGCUGGAAUCGCUAGUAAUCGCAGGUCAGCAUACUGCGGUGAAUACGUUCCCGGGUCUUGUACACACCGCCCGUCACACCAUGGGAGCCGGAAAUGCCCGAAGCCAGUGACCCAACCUUAGGGAGGGAGCUGUCGAAGGUGGAGCCGGUAACUGGGGUGAAGUCGUAACAAGGUAAC